rnacentral:misc_RNA from 1 species
UCACAAGAGAGAUCAAUUUUCAUGACCAAUCGUGGUUGAGGGCUUUGUCACGUGACCGCCAACAUCUCCGACUGUUUUGCGACGAAACACGACAACGGCAGCUCUCGGCGUCAACACGUCAAGGACGCAGCCUCUGACUCUCAGCAGCAGGUACAGAUCCUCGCCAUGGGCAUCAUAAAAGGUUUCAGGGAGUCUUCAAUCCCUGUGAUUGUCGCCCUCGCUGUGCUACUACCCGCCAACAUCCUGAGUUGGGUCGCCUUCUCCACCACCUCGUGGGCCUACGUCAACAACACCAUGGUCAACUUCCAGGGCUACGGGCUGUGGCGGAUCUGCGCCACCUCAGGGUCCUGUUCGCUUCUCGAUGGCACUCGAAGUGAAUGGUACGCCGCCUUUCAGGCUUGUGGCGUCUUUGGUUUUAUGGGAAUCAAUGUCGCAAUGCUGCUGGUGAUUAUGUACAUGUUCGUGGAGUGGUGGGAGAAGGACGUGGAACUGAAAGUGGGAGCCAUUGCCAGUUGUUUCCUUGCAGUGGCCAGCUACAUAUCAGCAGUGGUGGUGUUCUCUCAGGAGAUCAGAGGCUGGCUCGCCACCUCCGCGGACUUGCUGCUGGGCUUCUCUCUGUGGCUGGCCGUGGCCGCCAUCAUACUGACUGCCAUCGCCGGAACUCUCCUGGCUGUUGAUCUCAUUCUGAACAUUCUGAACAUCCAAACGGUGACAAUCAGUAACAGCGGUAACAACAGCACCAUGACCGCCGCCAGCAGCAACAACUCUCAAGGCACCUCUUCAAAAGGAAAAACAAAGAGGAGAGUAACCCAGGGACCAGUCUAAGGGUGGACAAUUGUGACUUGAAAUAUUUUAAAAGGACACAGAAGUCAUGCACAUUCCUCAACAAUAUAAUAUCUUCGCGACAGGCAGGUCUACCAGUGAUAGUCUGUAGGACAUUUCUGUCAAAACCAGAAGUCUUCGAAAGUCAAAAAUUGAAAGGUUCUGAGGACUUAUUUGCUUAAGAAAUUUCUUUGCAAGUUUUUCUUUUUUUUUUCUUCUGCUAUAGCAGAAUAUUAUGUUGUUGAUGUUGUUCUGUUGUGCAAGGUUUUGUGUACGAGUGUGUUUGGUAGAUGAAGGGACUAGAGAGAAAUGUAUGGCACGUGCAUGUAGUAGACGUGAGUGCGUUUUCGCAUACGUGUGUCUGAGAGAGACAGAGAGAAAGAAGAGAGAGGGCGUUGAUCGAGUUCAUUUCUUCUUUGUAAAGCGCAGGGAGGAAUGAGUAAGCUACAUCAGCUUUACUAUUUACACAUUAUUAUUUCACAAAUACAUUUAUUUUUGAUACCUUUGUAAAUAUGGUCCUAAGUAUUCUUGUUUUUAUUAUGUUUAAAACUGUAAACAAAUCUUCAUCUUGAUAUUAAGGGUUAGGGUUAGGGUUAGUACCUGGGUACAGACUACCCAUGAGAUCUAAAUGAUAUUAAAAACACUUUUAAUAAUAUUACAGUAUAUAUUGCUCAAAAACAUCAACCCUUAUACUCACAAGAAAUUAUUUUAUGAAAAACUCAUAACUUUUGGCUUUUUUCUAUUAAAUAUACAUUCUAAAAGGAAAAAAAAAAUAAAAGGUAAACAAAAAAUUGUUAAGCAAGCUUUUAUUUGAAAUUACAAGGGGCCCGGAGAGGUCGUCCAUCCUGGGCCUGUGUUGGCGCUCGGCGGCCCUGGAUGACGUGAGAGAGAGAGAAUGAGAGUAAGAUUUUGUUCUUUUGUUAGAAGUUAUCAUACUGAUGUGAAGAUGAAGACAAUUGAUGGUGGUGUAUGAACAACUAGUGUUGGAAAAAAGUUUUUAAAGAAGAUGAAUAAAGUGACGUAUAUUUAUAUUAAAAAA